GGUGUCAAAAGUGAAUGGAUGCAUAUUGGUCAGAGAGAGCAAGGAGAGUGCGCAGCUCUGUUUCUGUACCCCACCCUGCACUGCACUGCAUGCCAGAAGGGAAGAGAAGCUCUGUAGUCAUUGAAGCACCCUCUCUAGGAGCUGUAGUGCUUGGAUGGGCACCACUCAUAAAUGCAGCUCCUCAAGAACCAGCAGCCACAGAUGAAGGAAAAUGCCUUACUUGAAAAGUGCUAAACCCCACUAAAUAUCACAGGUGAUAUGACAAGCCCCUAGUAUGGAAAAGUGUAAACUUUUUGUCAGUUAAAGGAAGUUAUUUGGCAGUACCUGAUUGCCAUGAAGCCUUGUAG
rnacentral:lncRNA from 12 species